rnacentral:rRNA from 1 species
GAUGAACGCUGGCGGCGUGCCUAACACAUGCAAGUCGAACGGAGAUUUAACGCUGAUGAGGCUUCGGCGGAUUCUUGUUAAAUCUUAGUGGCGGACGGGUGAGUAACGCGUAUCCAACCUUCCCCUUAGUAGAGGAUAGCCCGGCGAAAGUCGGAUUAAUACUCUAUGUUCUUUCUGGAUGGCAUCUGAUGGAAAGCAAAGGUUCACCGCUAAGGGAUGGGGAUGCGUCUGAUUAGCUUGUUGGCGGGGUAACGGCCCACCAAGGCGACGAUCAGUAGGGGUUCUGAGAGGAAGGUCCCCCACAUUGGUACUGAGACACGGACCAAACUCC